AGUUAAGCUCAGUAGGGCGCGGUUAGUACUUGGAUGGGUGACCGCCUGGGAAUACCGUGUGCUGUAGGCA
rfam:Nematostella vectensis strain CH2 x CH6 NEMVEscaffold_90_Cont11740, whole genome shotgun sequence.